UACGUAGGGUGCGAGCGUUAAUCGGAAUUACUGGGCGUAAAGCGUGCGCAGGCGGUUCGUUGUGUCGGCGGUGAAAGCCCCGGGCUCAACCUGGGAACCGCGCUUGAGACUGGAGAACUAGAGUUCGGGAGAGGAUGGUGGAAUUCCCAGUGUAGAGGUGAAAUUCGUAGAUAUUGGGAAGAACACCGAUGGCGAAGGCAGCCAUCUGGACCGACACUGACGCUGAGGCGCGAAAGCGUGGGGAGCAAACAGG
rnacentral:rRNA from 1 species